rnacentral:tmRNA from 1 species
GGGGAUGAUCAGGUUUUCGACGAAUGGUAUCGUCCUUCAAGUUGCAUGUCGAGCUAUUCUGACUUGGGCUCGCAAAUCACGUCAGUAAACUUGUAACUGCGAACGAUUAUUCGUACGCGAUGGCGGCAUAAACCCGCUAUCUGUUUUUCAUACAUGCUCCCGCUCACUGGUGGUAUGAAAAGCAUCGACUUUGUGAGCACCCCUAUCUGAGAUGCUGGCUGAAUCUUUGAUAGGUACUUGAUCAGCCUUUGCUAGAUCUGGCUAUGAUUGCACGCCAUGGGUUUGGCAAGACUUAAGUGCAAUCUAAACAUGUAGACGCUUGUCAGAUCGUCCUUUCGGACCCGGGUUCGAUUCCCGGCAUCUCCACUA